rnacentral:rRNA from 1 species
AGAGUUUGAUCUUGGCUCAGGAUGAACGCUAGCUACAGGCUUAACACAUGCAAGUCGAGGGGAAACGACAUCGAAAGCUUGCUUUUGAUGGGCGUCGACCGGCGCACGGGUGAGUAACGCGUAUCCAACCUGCCCACCACUUGGGGAUAACCUUGCGAAAGUAAGACUAAUACCCAAUGAUAUCUCUAGAAGACAUCUGAAAGAGGUUAAAGAUUUAUCGGUGAUGGAUGGGGAUGCGUCUGAUUAGCUUGUUGGCGGGGUAACGGCCCACCAAGGCAACGAUCAGUAGGGGUUCUGAGAGGAAGGUCCCCCACAUUGGAACUGAGACACGGUCCAAACUCCUACGGGAGGCAGCAGUGAGGAAUAUUGGUCAAUGGACGAGAGUCUGAACCAGCCAAGUAGCGUGCAGGAAGACGGCCCUAUGGGUUGUAAACUGCUUUUAUAAGGGAAUAAAGUGAGUCUCGUGAGACUUUUUGCAUGUACCUUAUGAAUAAGGACCGGCUAAUUCCGUGCCAGCAGCCGCGGUAAUACGGAAGGUCCGGGCGUUAUCCGGAUUUAUUGGGUUUAAAGGGAGCGUAGGCCGGAGAUUAAGCGUGUUGUGAAAUGUAGAUGCUCAACAUCUGAACUGCAGCGCGAACUGGUUUCCUUGAGUACGCACAAAGUGGGCGGAAUUCGUGGUGUAGCGGUGAAAUGCUUAGAUAUCACGAAGAACUCCGAUUGCGAAGGCAGCUCACUGGAGCGCAACUGACGCUGAAGCUCGAAAGUGCGGGUAUCGAACAGGCUUAGAUACCCUGGUAGUCCGCACGGUAA